rnacentral:lncRNA from 1 species
UUUUUUUUUUUUUUUUGAGACAGAGUCUUGCUCUGUCACCCAGGCUGGAGUACAGUGGUGCAAUUUCAGCUCACUGCAAGCUCCACCUCCCGGAUUCACGCCAUUCUCCUGCCUCAGCCUCCCGAGUGGCUGGGACUACAGGCGCCCACUAAUUUUUUGUAUCUUUAGUAGAGAUGGUAUUUCAUCGUGUUAGCCAGGAUGGUCUCGAUCUCAUGACCUCAUGAUCCACCCACCUCAGCCCCCCGGAGUGCUGUAUGAUUACCGGUAUGAGCCACUGAGCCUGGUCUCCCAUGGGGAGAAUUCUAAUCAUGAAAGCAGCCAUUUAAAAAAGAUGAAAAUAUUUAAGCUACCUACUUUCUGUCUUACCUUUUAAGCUUUUAAGUGUCUAGAGCAGGGCUUCUCAGCCUAGGCACUGUUGACAUUUGGGGCUGGAUAAUUCCUUGUUGUGUGGGGGGAUGCCCUGUGGACUGCGUGAUGUUUAGCAGCUUCCCUGGGCUCUAUUCACUAGAUGCCAGUGGCACCCUCUUCCAGUCUUAAUAAUCCCAAAUCUCUCCAGUCAUUGCCGAAAUGUCCUUUGGGAGACAAAACUGCCCCUGAGAACCACUAGUCUGAGCCAUUUUGAAAUAGAUGAAUGAACUACAGACAUAAGUUCUCUAAAAUGUGCCUCAAAUGUGAGAUGGUAUGCUCUCACCAAGGAUUUCACUUACACCACAAAUAGCAUUUUAUAAGAAGUAAACUGAAACCCAUAGCCUAACAAGAACAGUGAGAUGCUUGGCACUAACAAGUUAUGGUGAGCAAAAUAGUCCAAACUUGUUCACAUAUGCAAACUCAACAUUUAAUUUUCUGCAAGAUUACCCACAAUAAUUACAAAGUUUCUAUAAUACAGCCUUAAAAGCUUGGAACUAUGAGAUCCAUAAGAAUUGAUCCUUUAUCUUUUACCUUUACUGCGUACGGUGUCUGUGCAACAUAGCAAAUGAAUGUAGGCAAUAUUUUCCUCUAAUUUCUAGGAGUACUAAAGUGAAACUUUCCUAAAAUUAAAUUGAUUAUUAAAUAAUCUAAUGGAGGGAAAUACAGAGUCAACUCGAAUGUACAAACAACACUAAGGUAAACCAAAGACCAUUUUGCUUAUAAGCAUGUAUCCUUCAACUGAACAUAGCUCUUGCACAUAUGAUAACUAAUAGCUUGACACUCUAAAAGUAAUGUUGAAAUAUGAGUUGCUAGCAGUUAAUGAUGGUUUGAGGACAAAGAGUUGACAUCUAUAUGACACCAGUUUGUUUAGUCUGCCAGUAACAUACAGUAUUUUUGGGGCAUUAGUAAUAGCUUGAAUAAACUGUCUGCGUAGAUUCUAUGGUCAAAUGCUGGCUAAUGCCAUAUCAACUUGAAGAUUUCAGAGCCAUUAUCAU